rnacentral:rRNA from 1 species
AUUGUCAAAAGGGAAACAGCCCAGACCUACAGCUAAGGUCCCAAAUGUAUGCUAAGUGGAAAACGAUGUGGAAUUGCGAAAACAACCAGGAUGUUGGCUUAGAAGCAGCCACUCAUUAAAAGAGUGCGUAAUAGCUCACUGGUCGAGUGAUUCUGCGCCGAAAAUUUAACGGGGCUAAACUAUACACCGAAGCUUAGGAUACCGCAAGGUAUGGUAGGAGAGCGUUCUGUACGGAGUGAAGUCGUAGCGAAAGCGGCGGUGGACUGUACAGAAGUGAGAAUGCCGGAAUAAGUAGCGAGAAUUAAGUGAGAAUCUUAAUGGCCGAAAGUCUAAGGUUUUUGGAGGAAGGUUCGUCCGCUCCAAGUAAGUCGGGAGCUAAGGUCAGGCCGAAAGGCGUAGCCGAUGCACAAACGGUUGAUAUUCCGUUACCGUCUACAAUUUAAACAAGGGGACACAUACAAAGCGUUUAACCCGGGCGAUGGUUGACCCGGGCGCAAGGGACUGAAAUUAUAGUAGGGAAGUAAAUGUGGCGUAUGGCGAGAAAAGCUUUGUGAAUAGAAGUAGACGCCCGUACCGCAAACCGACACAGGUGGACAGGAAGAGAAUUCUAAGGCCAGCGGGAGAAGGGUAGUUAAGGAACUCGGCAAAUUGACUCCGUAACUUCGGAAUAAGGAGUGCUCGAAAGAGCCGCAGAGAAUAGGCCCAGGCGACUGUUUAGCAAAAACACAGGUCUCUGCCAAAUCGAAAGAUGAAGUAUAGGGGCUGACACCUGCCCGGUGCCGGAAGGUUAAGAGGAGGAGUGCAAGCUCCGAAUUGAAGCCCCGGUAAACGGCGGCCGUAACUAUAACGGUCCUAAGGUAGCGAAAUUCCUUGUCGGGUAAGUUCCGACCCGCACGAAUGGUGUAAUGAUCUGGACACUGUCUCAACAACGCACCCGGCGAAAUUGUAGUACCGGUGAAGAUGCCGGUUACCCGCGGCAAGACGGAAAGACCCCAUGGAGCUUUACUGUAGCUUAGUAUUGGGUCUCGGUAUUUUAUGUACAGGAUAGGCGGGAGACUAGGAAGCAAGUACGCCAGUAUUUGUGGAGUCAUCCUUGGGAUACCGCUCUUAAAGUAUUGAGAUUCUAACCUGCGGCCAUGAAACUGGUCGGGGGACAUUGCUAGGUGGGCAGUUUGACUGGGGCGGUCGCCUCCAAAAGAGUAACGGAGGCGUUCAAAGGUUGGCUCAGCAUGGACGGAAACCAUGCCUUAGAGUGUAAACGCAUAAGCCAGCCUAACUGCGAGACUGACGGGUCGAGCAGUAACGAAAGUUGGAGUUAGUGAUCCGGCGGUAUGUGAGUGGAAAUGCCGUCGCUCAACGGAUAAAAGCUACCCUGGGGAUAACAGGCUGAUCUCCCCCAAGAGUCCACAUCGACGGGGAGGUUUGGCACCUCGAUGUCGGCUCAUCGCAUCCUGGGGCUGUAUUCGGUCCCAAGGGUUUGGCUGUUCGCCAAUUAAAGCGGUACGCGAGCUGGGUUCAGAACGUCGUGAGACAGUUCGGUCCCUAUCUGUCGUGGGCGCAGGAUAUUUGAGGAGCUCUGUCCUUAGUACGAGAGGACCGGGAUGGACGUACCUCUGGUGCACCAGUUGUCAUGCCAAUGGCACGGCUGGGCAGCUACGUACGGAACGGAUAAACGCUGAAAGCAUCUAAGCGUGAAGCCGACUCCAAGAUUAGAUAUCCCAUUGCAUAAGCAAGUAAGACCCCUUGAGGACUACGAGGUUGAUAGGCUGCGUGUGUAAGUGUCGUGAGGCAUUUAGCUUGGCAGUACUAAUAGGUCGAGGGCUUGACCA